GGGUCAUAGUCUGAUUUGCCUUCAUCCUGGGACAUACCUCUGCUGUGCGCCCAGACUUGGUGGAGGACUUUGGAUCGCCUGUAGAGAGAGCACAUGCCUAGUCUCUACCUUGGACCUCCUUCAAAGCCCUUCUCCCUAGGUAAAUGGACCUGACCUACCUCUUAAUGAAAUCUCCUUUUUACACGAUGAAGACAGCAGCUUGGAAAAACAGAAAAAGAAAAAGGGAGUUUAAAGACACAUGACUUCGAUGUUACUGAAGAUUGUGUCACAAUCAUCAAAUGGAGCUGGUGCCAAAUAAACCAGAUGGAGCUUUCAAUCAACAAACUGCAUUUAUUUUUGAUAUCUGUGGCUUAUUUGUUACCCAUGCACCUUUUAAUAGGAUAAGGAUUUCUGAGAUAUUAUCACAUGGUUCUAUCAUGGAUACCUUCUGCAGGCACCAGUUUGCCACCAAAGACACUAAUCACGGAAGAAAGUGGUAUAGAAACUUGUAUUGAUGUUUUGCCUUUCCAAAGGAAGUAAAUGACAGCAAAGCAUAUUUCAAGGUCUGGUUGCCAACAUACUCAAUUAAGCAGAGUUUGGAGGAGGAGGAGAAGGAGGAGGGGGAUGGCUGGAAACUCCCAGUCAUACUACAAAUGACAGCUAUCUGCUGUCAGAGACCUGGUGACGUUGAACCAAACUGUGAAAUAUGUGUAAUUCCUCAAAUAUCACUGAUGAUGAAGCACCAGAUUUUUAUUUUUUUCCAUGUGGAUGUGACUGCUUUUGACCAUGACAGGUUUUCAUAAAUCUGGUGUCAUUAUAGAACACAUGACUUGUGUCACCACUGCUACAACAAGAGAAAUCCAUCACAGAUCAAAGUGCCAGGAGAAGUCAUAUUCACUAUAUAAGCCCCACUUAAGCUUUCCAAAUACAGCUUGAGUGGAAUUUAAGUGGGCCAUAGACCAUGUUUCUGCUCCUAUACACAGGCAUGAAUUUUACAAUUUGAAAACAAAACUAAAAUAAAAAGCAUUUUCUUAUAUAACA
rnacentral:lncRNA from 1 species